rnacentral:rRNA from 1 species
UAGAGUUUGAUCCUGGCUCAGGACGAACGCUGGCGGCGUGCCUAACACAUGCAAGUCGAGGGGCAUCAUGGAGUUUGCUUGCAAACUCUGAUGGCGACCGGCGCACGGGUGAGUAACGCGUAUCCAACCUUCCCUAUAGUAGUGGAUAGCCCGGCGAAAGUCGGAUUAAUACACUAUGUUAUUCAACGAGGACAUCUGAAAUGAAUCAAAGGCUUGCCGCUAUAGGAUGGGGAUGCGUCUGAUUAGAUAGUAGGCGGGGUAACGGCCCACCUAGUCUACGAUCAGUAGGGGUUCUGAGAGGAAGGUCCCCCACAUUGGAACUGAGACACGGUCCAAACUCCUACGGGAGGCAGCAGUGAGGAAUAUUGGUCAAUGGGCGAGAGCCUGAACCAGCCAAGUAGCGUGCAGGAUGACGGCCCUAUGGGUUGUAAACUGCUUUUAUGCGGGGAUAAAGUUCACUACGUGUAGUGUUUUGUAGGUACCGCAUGAAUAAGGACCGGCUAAUUCCGUGCCAGCAGCCGCGGUAAUACGGAAGGUCCGGGCGUUAUCCGGAUUUAUUGGGUUUAAAGGGAGCGCAGGCCGGAGGUCAAGCGUGACGUGAAAUGUAGCCGCUCAACGGCUGAACUGCGUCGCGAACUGGCUUUCUUGAGUGAGUUCGAUGUGGGCGGAAUUCGUGGUGUAGCGGUGAAAUGCUUAGAUAUCACGAAGAACUCCGAUUGCGAAGGCAGCCCACAAGGCCUUUACUGACGCUAAAGCUCGAAGGUGCGGGUAUCGAACAGGAUUAGAUACCCUGGUAGUCCGCACGGUAAACGA